AGCGGGCUACUAGGAAGCGGCAUAUGUCCUCCAGAAAACUGAGGUGAGAACAUCGAAUUAGAAUCCACAAUGCAUGUCAUCGGUGACAGAAUGAAAGCUCGUAAAGAGACCGAGGCUGA
rnacentral:lncRNA from 1 species